CCCCCCCCCCCCCCCCCCCCCCCCCCCCCCCCCCCCCCCCCCCCCCCCCCCCCCCCCCCCCCCCCCCCCCCCCCCCCCCCCCCCCCCCGCUGCAGGAAAAAAAAAAAACAAAAAAACCAACAAAACACACACGCACAAAAACAAAACAAAAAUCCCAAACAAACAAACAAACAAAAAAAACCAAACCAAAACAAACAAACAAAAAAAAACCAAAGCAAAACAAAAAAACCCCCAAAAAACAGGAAACCUCUAACCAGCCAUGGUAAAUCAGCUCGUGCUGCAGAACGAGACUGACCUCGAGCAUCCCCGGACGCCGAGAUCCUCGGGAUGCCCUUUCCAGAUCACUGCAGGGAGCCCAGAGGAGUUAUUUGAUCCAGCUGUCCUUAAAGGACACAAGAGUUCAGAACGUGUCACCCCACUCGGGUGUUCUCAGAGCCAGGAAAGUUCUGACCUUCCCUGCUGAGCAAACAGCUCCAAAAAUCACAUUAAACCCCCGUGAUGGGUUAAAAAAAUAUGGGUGCUGUGUGUGCAGGGAAGGGAAAAUGUUAUUUUUGAGCUCAUCUGAGCAUUGCCAAUGUGUUUCCCAUGGUUGGGAGGGAGGGAAUUGAAGAUGGGGGUUUUGGGGAUAAAAAUGAGAAAUGUAUAGUUCUGCUGCUGAUGAGGUCAAACCUCUCCGGGGAGUUCACAGUCUCUCCAGGGGAGUUCACAGUGCAAGUGCUGGGAACCUCUUCC
rnacentral:lncRNA from 12 species